GGGCGUGUAGUGCUAAUGGGAGCACGGCCGGCCUGCACCCGGCAAGCGCGGGUUCGAUUCCUGUCACGUCCA
rnacentral:tRNA from 1 species